AACGAACGCUGGCGGCAUGCCUAACACAUGCAAGUCGAACGAGACCUUCGGGUCUAGUGGCGUACGGGUGCGUAACGCGUGGGAACCUGCCCUUAGGUUCGGAAUAACUCCCCGAAAGGGGUGCUAAUACCGGAUAAUGUCUUCGGACCAAAGAUUUAUCGCCUUUGGAUGGGCCCGCGUUGGAUUAGCUAGUUGGUAGGGUAAAAGCCUACCAAGGCGACGAUCCAUAGCUGGUCUGAGAGGAUGAUCAGCCACACUGGGACUGAGACACGGCCCAGACUCCUACGGGAGGCAGCGGUGGGGAAUAUUGGACAAUGGGCGAAAGCCUGAUCCAGCAAUGCCGCGUGAGUGAUGAAGGCCUUAGGGUUGUAAAGCUCUUUUACCCGGGAUGAUAAUGACAGUACCGGGAGAAUAAGCGCCGGCUAACUCCGUG
rnacentral:rRNA from 1 species